rnacentral:misc_RNA from 1 species
CUAAGGAGCAUUCUCCACCGACACCAACACAGGUUGGACGGUAAACGUCUGGUGGCAGAGGCCAUUACGAACCCGAUCGUGGUUCGGUGGUUGCUCAUGGGUGGAACGCUGACAGCCUUCAUCGCAUCAUCUUCCGAUCCUGUGUGGUCGGGGGGCGGUGGAUAUAUCGACACACUGUUGGGUCCUGAAAGAACAGACGUUCUUUCCAGGCAAGAGAUACGACGAGGCUGAUUCUCAGUCAUACCGCGGGAGCUUCGGUUUCCGGCUGGUGCUGGUGAGGGGUUGGUCUUGUGUGUUGUUUGAGAACUGCACAGUGGACGCGAGCAUCUUUGUUUGUAAGUGUGUAAGAGCGUUC